AGCGAACGCUGGCGGCAGGCUUAACACAUGCAAGUCGAGCGGGCGUAGCAAUACGUCAGCGGCAGACGGGUGAGUAACGCGUGGGAACGUACCUUUUGGUUCGGAACAACACAGGGAAACUUGUGCUAAUACCGGAUAAGCCCUUACGGGGAAAGAUUUAUCGCCGAAAGAUCGGCCCGCAUCUGAUUAGCUAGUUGGUGAGGUAAUGGCUCACCAAGGCGACGAUCAGUAGCUGGUCUGAGAGGAUGAUCAGCCACAUUGGGACUGAGACACGGCCCAAACUCCUACGGGAGGCAGCAGUGGGGAAUAUUGGACAAUGGGCGCAAGCCUGAUCCAGCCAUGCCGCGUGAGUGAUGAAGGCCCUAGGGUUGUAAAGCUCUUUUGUGCGGGAAGAUGAUGACGGUACCGCAAGAAUAAGCCCCGGCUAACUACGUGCCAGCAGCCGCCGCGG
rnacentral:rRNA from 1 species